rnacentral:tRNA from 1 species
GGAGUCGUGGUGUAGCCCGGUCAACACGCCCGCCUGUCACGCGGGAGAUCGCGGGUUCAAAUCCCGUCGACUCCG